AAAAAAAGUGAUCUGUCCCUGGAGGUUAAAUUUUUUUCUGUUUUAUGCUGGUAUAAGAGAGACAUCUGUUUCUCAGUAGCAAAUACCACCUGUUUCCAAUACCUUCUCUUAUCUGCCCUUCCUUCCCUUAGAUGACUUGUUAGCUACAGAGAAAAAUGUGGAAGGGAUAUGGGAGUAACAUACUGCCUGCUAUCCACAUUGGGAAAUACAACGCCCCUGCUAUGAGGACCUUGGAGGCCACGUGCUUCAGAUGGCAGAGCUACAAGAGAGAGGAGAGCUGUCGGCCAUAUUGGACUUCAUCACACUAUCUGGCCACAAGAGGUGCUUCGGUCGUUGCUGGCUGUAAAGACAAAGGCAGAGUUACCACUCUCUGAUCCAUCCACCAAAUCUUGGCUUCUUUAUUAAAAACU